rnacentral:lncRNA from 10 species
AUUUUUUGUAUUUUUUAGUAGAGACGAGGUUUCACCAUGUUAGUCAGGAUGGUCUCGAUCUCCUGACCUCGUGACCCGCCCGCCUCGGCCUCCCAAGUGCUGGGAUUACAGGCGUGAGCCAAUGUGCCCAGCCCUACUUUUGAAGUCUGGAAUCACAGUGUUCCCUAAACAGGGUUUACUUCCAUUCUUCCUUUUCACUGUGAAUGGCACUAUCACUGUUCAUCCAGUAAGCCAAGCCAGAAACCUAGGAGUCUUCUUUGGCCCCACAUUUACUUUGGUGACAUCAAGCAGCUAACUCAAUAAAAUAAUAGCAACGGUUAGUUUUUCAACAUUUACCGUGUACCAGACUCUCUCUGCCAAGUGAUAUAUCUGAAUAAUACCUGUGUGUGAGGUGCUAGAUACUGAUAUUUCCAUUUUAUAUCUGAGGAAGUUGAUGCACAGUGAGGCUUCAUAACUUGACCAAGGUCUCACACAGGUUGACAGAGCUGGGAUUUGAACUUGGGCAAUGUAAUUUCAGAUCCUGCCUUUGACAUCACUAUAUUAUACCAUGUCCAAAGAUGAUCCACAAAGUAUUCCAUGAUCCAAAUUUUUUUAGUUCUUGUGUAGAUGACCUGGAUAAGUUACCUGUUAAUUUGUUUCCAACUCUACCUAGCACAAAUAGGUGGUUUAAGAAAUACUUUACUAUCACACUGUU